rnacentral:rRNA from 1 species
GACAGAGGUUGCAAACGUUGUUCGGAAUUACUGGGCAUAAAGCGCACGUAGGCGGUUCGUUAAGUCAUGUGUGAAAUCCCUCGGCUCAACCGAGGAAUUGCGCCUGAUACUGGCGGGCUAGAGAUCGAUGAGGGGUGAGUGGAACUCCAGGUGGAGCGGUGAAAUGCGUAGAUAUCUGGAGGAACACCGGUGGCGAAAGCGGCUCACUGGAUCGAUACUGACGCUGAGGUGCGAAAGCUAGGGUAGCAAACGGG